UACGUAGGGUGCAAGCGUUGUCCGGAAUUAUUGGGCGUAAAGGGCUCGUAGGCGGUCCAUCGCGUCGGGAGUGAAAAGCUGGGGCUUAACCCCAGUCCUGCUUCCGAUACGGGUGGACUAGAGGUAGGUAGGGGAGAUCGGAAUUCCUGGUGUAGCGGUGAAAUGCGCAGAUAUCAGGAGGAACACCGGUGGCGAAGGCGGAUCUCUGGGCCGAUACUGACGCUGAGGAGCGAAAGCGUGGGGAGCGAACAGG
rnacentral:rRNA from 1 species